GACGAACGCUGGCGGCGUGCUUAACACAUGCAAGUGGAGCGACGAACCGGGGCUUGCCCCGGGGCAGAGCCGCGAACGGGUGAGUAACACGUGGGUAACCCACCCCGAUGACCGGGACAACCCGAGGAAACUCGGGCUAAUACCGGAUGUGCUCCUUGACCUCGAGGUCAAGGCGUAAAGAUAGCUUCGGCCUUCGCAUCGGGACGGCCCGCGGCCCAUUAGCUUGUUGGUGGGGUAACGGCCUACCAAGGCGACGAUGGGAGCUGGUCUGAGAGGACGAUCAGCCACACUGGGACUGAGACACGGCCCAGACUCCUACGGGAGGCAGCAGUGGGGAAUCUUGCGCAAUGCGCGAAAGCGUGACGCAGCAACGCCGCGUGGGGAAGACGGCC
rnacentral:rRNA from 1 species